rnacentral:rRNA from 1 species
UACAGAGACUGCAAGCGUUAUUCGGAUUCACUGGGCGUAAAGGGCGCGUAGGCGGCUUGGCAAGUGGAAGGUGAAAUCCCUCGGCUUAACCGUGGAAGUGCACCCGAAACUGUAGAGCUAGAGUCCCGGAGAGGAUGGUGGAAUACUUGGUGUAGAGGUGAAAUUCGUAGAUAUCAAGUGGAACACCGGUGGCGAAGGCGGCCAUCUGGACGGUGACUGACGCUGAGACGCGAAAGCGUGGGUAGCAAACAGG